UACGAGGGGGCAAGCGUUGUUUGGAAUUAUUGGGCGUAAAGGGUGCGUAGGCGGUUUGGUAAGUCUGAUGUGAAAUCUAUGGGCUCAACUCAUAGUCUGCAUCGGAAACUGCCGGGCUUGAGUGUGGGAGAGGUGAGUGGAAUUCCUGGUGUAGCGGUGAAAUGCGUAGAUAUCAGGAGGAACACCUGUGGCGAAAGCGGCUCACUGGACCAUAACUGACGCUGAUGCACGAAAGCUAGGGGAGCAAACAGG
rnacentral:rRNA from 1 species